AGCCACCUCCUGCCAUCCUGUGAACUGAACAGUGGGGAGACUUACCCUGGGAGGGCUUAAGGGAAGCCUGGGGCCAACCACACUGUGGAAUGAGCCCCUCCAAUAGCCUCAAGGACCUGAGUCGACCCACCUCACGUGGCUGAUCGGAGAAGUAGAUCCUCUCACAUGAGAGUUGGGUGACUUGGUGAGAGACGCUGAGGGCCCAAAGCAUGGUCAACCCAGGAUAAGCCAUGAUUGAGGUUGUAGACUUAAAAACCUACAGGAGGCCUGAGACCUCAGUUCCAGGAGGCCGAGGCAGAAGGGACUCAAGUUCAAGGCCUGCUUGGACUCCAUCAAAACGCGCCAACCCGGACGAGUUAGCAAGAUCCUGUCUCAAACUCAGAAAGUCAAUAAGAAAGCUGGAGAUGCAACUCAGCGGGGAGAUGCUGGCCUUGCACGUACGAAACCCUAAAUGCACUCCCCCGUACAACGCACGAACAAACAUCAGAAGCCUUUGACCACACACAGUACCAAUAAAAAGAAGAGAA